ACUAGCAGAAGGUUUUUCCCAUGAAAAAAAAAUGUCACUUGCUAAAGAGAUUGCCAUGCAGAAAUUUAACAACUGUUAAGAACAUAAUUACGACGACUAGUUUACAAGAAUGAUAGAUAAGAUGAAAUCGCUUGUAGUCUGGAUAUGAAAAAACGCGUGAAAUUUCAGGGAAGCAACUAAAGAAGAUGAUGAUGGCUUCUUGGUUUCAGAUGUAGCUGAUCUAGUUGCCGGGGAGAAGAGGAAAAGAGCUGUGUUGAAUGCUACCGGAAAAACAAAUUGAGCUUUGCAUGAGUUUAAGGAUUUGUCUUGUGAGGGGGAGCCCUCUCUUCAGAAUUGGUUGGAAAGAGCUAUGAAUGGGCUAAAAAACAUAUCUGCCCAUUCCAGUAGAAAUCUUGGUGUUGCUUGUAAGUAUGACUACUUGUGAUCCCAGUGAUACACGAAAAAACAUUCUGCUCUAUCAUUUAUUC